rnacentral:rRNA from 1 species
UACGUAGGGGGCAAGCGUUGUCCGGAUUUAUUGGGCGUAAAGAGCGUGUAGGCGGCCAGGGAGGUCCGUUGUGAAAACUCGAGGCUCAACCUCGAGACGCCGAUGGAAACCAUCUGACUAGAGUCCGGAAGAGGAGAGGUGGAAUUCCUGGUGUAGCGGUGAAAUGCGCAGAUAUCAGGAAGAACACCCGUGGCUAAGGCGGCUCCUCUAGUACGGUACUGACGCUGAGACGCGAAAGCGUGGGGAGCGAACAGG